UACGGUCAAAUCAUGUUGUAACACCGUUUCCCGUACGAUCACCGAAGUUAAACAAUAUCUAGCCUGAUUAGUACCUAGAUGAGUGACUGCUUGGGAGUACCAGGAAA
rnacentral:rRNA from 1 species